rnacentral:siRNA from 1 species
UUGGUGUCUCAUACAAUUUUC